rnacentral:rRNA from 1 species
CCUACGGGAGGCAGCAGUGGGGAAUAUUGCACAAUGGGGGAAACCCUGAUGCAGCGACGCCGCGUGAGUGAAGAAGUAAUUCGUUAUGUAAAGCUCUAUCAGCAGGGAAGAAAAUGACGGUACCUGAGUAAGACUCCCCGGCUAACUACGUGCCAGCCGCCGCGGUACUACGUAGGGGGCAAGCGUUAUCCGGAUUUACUGGGUGUAAAGGGAGCGUAGACGGCAGUGCAAGUCUGGAGUGAAAGGCGGGGGCUCAACACCCGGACUGCUCUGGAAACUGUACGGCUGGAGUGCAGGAGAGGUAAGUGGAAUUCCUAGUGUAGCGGUGAAAUGCGUAGAUAUUAGGAGGAACACCAGUGGCGAAGGCGGCUUACUGGACUGUAACUGACGUUGAGGCUCGAAAGCGUGGGGAGCAAACAGGAUUAGAUACCCGAGUAGUC